rnacentral:rRNA from 1 species
GUGUCAGCCGCCGCGGUAAGACAGAGGUGGCAAGCGUUGCUCGGAGUUACUGGGCAUAAAGGGCGCGUAGGCGGUCGUGCACGUCGAGGGUGAAAUCCCCGGGCUUAACCCGGGAACUGCCUUUGAUACGGCGCGACUCGAGUGCGGGAGGGGAGAGUGGAACUCCUGGUGGAGCGGUGAAAUGCGUAGAUAUCAGGAGGAACGCCGGUGGCGAAAGCGACUCUCUGGUCCGCAACUGACGCUGAGGCGCGAAAGCUAGGGGAGCAAACGGGAUUAGAUACCCUCGUAGUCC